rnacentral:lncRNA from 1 species
AUGGCUAACAUCAAUAUUUGUAUAAAACCAUAUGAAAGGCAGACCUAAUAUUGCCUCUUCUUCACCCUGGUAUCGGCACAGAUCGUUGAGGCACCAACAAGCUGGCUCUUUGAUCUUGUACCAAAACUUUUUAGAAAUAAUACAAAAACUUUAAAAUUACAUCAAGCAUCGAUUAGAAAUAAUAAAUAGUAACAAUACUAGAUGAUUUUGGUAUUUACCUACAAAUACUCGAAGCAAAUCAGGGGGCAAAAUAGAACCACACAUAAUAGCAGUUGAGAUCUAGAUGCCC